rnacentral:rRNA from 1 species
AUUGAACGCUGGCGGCAGGCCUAACACAUGCAAGUCGAGCGGAUGAAGGGAGCUUGCUCCUGGAUUCAGCGGCGGACGGGUGAGUAAUGCCUAGGAAUCUGCCUGGUAGUGGGGGAUAACGUCCGGAAACGGGCGCUAAUACCGCAUACGUCCUGAUGGAGCAAGUGGGGGAUCUUCGGACCUCACGCUAUCAGAUGAGCCUAGGUCGGAUUAGCUAGUUGGUGGGGUAAAGGCCUACCAAGGCGACGAUCCGUAACUGGUCUGAGAGGAUGAUCAGUCACACUGGAACUGAGACACGGUCCAGACUCCUACGGGAGGCAGCAGUGGGGAAUAUUGGACAAUGGGCGAAAGCCUGAUACAGCCAGGCCGCGUGUGUGAAGAAGGUGUUCGGAUUGUAAAGCACUUUAAGUUGGGAGGAAGGGCAGUAAGUUAAUACCUUGCUGUUUUGACGUUACCAACAGAAUAAGCACCGGCUAACUUCGUG